AUUCUGUGUUCCAGGUCAUGGGAAUUCAAAAUGACACCAGAAUAAACUAGUUCUCAUCCCUUUUAAGAUGAGAACUUCGCUUUUUUGAGUCCACAGUUGUGGUGACAUGACAUGGGGCUCUACUUUUUUCUGGGACACUCUCUUGGAAGGCACAUACCUGCAUGCUUUCAUCGAGUCCAGGCUGUCUGGUGUUAAUUGCUCAGGUGGGCUGUUGGUGCACACGUUAAAAAUGAAGAACUGUUAAGAAUUGAGACAGUAUUCGGAGGAGCCUGAGCUAUCGAGAUGAAACUCAAUGAAGACACUUUACUGAGAGUUUCCUUCGUGUUGAGCUCUUAAUGCAUGUGGUUUUCCUUAACAUCAAUGUUUUGCUAACAAGGAAACUGAAUCUUCCAUAGGCCAAAUACCAUUCAGGAUCCAGCCCCAUGGAAGGUACACCUGGAGGUAUGCAUCUACCAUGACCUUAGUGAUGUGGAGACUCAAGAACACUCCAUCUGGAAGCAUUUGU